rnacentral:rRNA from 1 species
UACGUAGGGGGCAAGCGUUGUCCGGAUUCAUUGGGCGUAAAGAGCUCGUAGGCGGCUGUUCAAGUCGAACGUGAAAACUCGGAGCUCAACUCCGAGCCUGCGUUCGAUACUGGACGGCUAGAGUCUGGUAGGGGGAUCUGGAAUUCCUGGUGUAGCGGUGAAAUGCGCAGAUAUCGGGAGGAACACCAAUGGCGAAGGCAGCUUGCUGGGACGGUACUGACGCUGAGACGCGAAAGCGUGGGGAGCAAACAGG